rnacentral:rRNA from 1 species
AUUGAUGGCUGGAAUGAAUGAAUAUACGAGAGCUCAACUGUCUCAUUUUUACAAAUAUAAAUUGACCCUCAAGUGAAGAGACUUGAAUUCUUAAAAAAGACGAAAAGACCCUAUAGAGCUUUACCUGAAAUCUAUAUCAUAUAUAACAAAGGUUUAGUUGGGGCAACUAGAGAGCACCUAAAACCUCUCUUCAAAUUUUCUAAUAACGAUCCGUUUUUACGAUAAGUAGAAAAAGCUACCUUAGGGAUAACAGGCUAAUCCUCUUUAAGAGACCAUAUUGACAAGAGGGA